rnacentral:rRNA from 1 species
ACUCAAAUGAAUUGACGGGGACCCGCACAAGCGGUGGAGCAUGUGGUUUAAUUCGACGGUAAGCGUAGAACCUUACCUGGGCUUGAAAGGCAGCUGCAAGCUUUUGGAAACAAGAGCCGCUUUCGAAGGUGCUGUCUAGGUGCUGCAUGGUUGUCGUCAGCUCGUGGCGUGAGCUGUUCCCUUAAGUGGGGUAACGAGCGCAACCCUUGUCGUGCGUUAUAUAUGUCGCACGAGACUGCCCUCGCAAGAGGGAGGAAGGUGAGGAUGACGUCAAAUCAGCAUGGCCCUUACGUCCAGGGCCACACACGUGCUACAAUGGCUGGUACAAUGGGAUGCCAAACCGCAAGGUGGAGCGAAUCCCAUCAAAGCCAGUCUCAGUUCGGAUCGAGGGCUGCAAUUCGCCCUCGUGAAGCUGGAAUCGCUAGUAACGGCCGAUCAGCUACGCGGCCGUGAAUACGUUCUCGGGUCUUGUACACACCGCCCGU